rnacentral:rRNA from 1 species
UACGGAGGAUGCAAGCGUUAUCCGGAUUCAUUGGGUUUAAAGGGUGCGCAGGUGGGCUUGUAAGUCAGUGGUGAAAUACUGCCGCUUAACGGUAGAAUUGCCAUUGAUACUGUGAGUCUUGAGUAUGGUUGAGGUAGGUGGAAUGUGCAGUGUAGCGGUGAAAUGCAUAGAUAUUGCACAGAACUCCGAUUGCGAAGGCAGCUUACUAAGCCAUUACUGACGCUGAGGCACGAAAGCGUGGGUAGCGAACAGGAUUAGAUACCCUGGUAGUCCACGCCGUAAACGAUGUUCACUCGCUGUUUGCGAUACACAGCAAGCGGCUGAGCGAAAGCAUUAAGUGAACCACCUGGGGAGUACGAUCGCAAGGUUGAA